ensembl:snRNA Gm25924 U6 spliceosomal RNA
GUACUUUCUCAGCCCAUACACUAAAAUUGAAACAAGACAAAGAGGAUAACAAGCUCCCUGCAUGAAAAUAACAUGAAAUUCUAUAAAGUGGUCCAUGUCUUU